UGAGGAAUAUUGGUCAAUGGGCGCAAGCCUGAACCAGCCAAGUAGCGUGCAGGAAGACGGCCCUAUGGGUUGUAAACUGCUUUUAUACGAGAAUAAUUUGAUGCACGUGUGCGUUAUUGCAUGUAUCGUAUGAAUAAGGACCGGCUAAUUCCGUGCCAGCAGCCGCGGUAAUACGGAAGGUCCAGGCGUUAUCCGGAUUUAUUGGGUUUAAAGGGAGUGUAGGCGGUUUGUUAAGCGUGUUGUGAAAUUUAGAUGCUCAACAUUUAACUUGCAGCGCGAACUGUCAGACUUGAGUACACGCAACGUAUGCGGAAUUCAUGGUGUAGCGGUGAAAUGCUUAGAUAUCAUGAAGAACUCCGAUUGCGAAGGCAGCAUACGGGGGUGUAACUGACGCUUAAGCUCGAAGGUGCGGGUAUCGAACAGGAUUAGAUACCCUGGUAGUCCGCACAGUAAACGAUGGAUGCCCGCUGUUAGCGCCUGGCGUUAGCGGCUAAGCGAAAGCAUUAAGCAUCCCACCUGGGGAGUACGCCGGCAACGGUG
rnacentral:rRNA from 1 species